CAUUAUAAAGUUUUUAAAAUAUUUUAUUUACAUUAAAAAGAAGCUAUUAAUUAGAUGUAGUGA
rnacentral:tRNA from 1 species